rnacentral:miRNA from 1 species
AGCCUCAUCAACCGGAAGGGAUUCCUUCCGGUCGAUGAGGUGUGACAACCUCAUCAACCGGAAGGAAAACCUUCUGGUUGAUGAGGUG